UACCCGGAUGAGCACGCCGACGCCGAGUCGAGUUCGGAUCUGCUGUUAGGAAAAUUUAAUAAACUACAUAUUUUAUACUUUUAUAAACGGAUUAAACUCGAUAUUUAGCGCCGCGGGUUAAUAAUAUUAAUGUUCUGCUCGAGUUAAAACAGUUUAAAGCGCUUUUUUUGAGUUUAUUAACGAUUAAAGCUGGAUUAAUGUGAGGUGUUGGAUGAUUCUGCUGAUGGUGAUGGUGAUGAUGGUGAACGUGGUGUUUGUAGAAAGUGUGGAUGAGAGGGUGGAUCUUCAGUACAGUGGUCGUCUUCAGGUUUGAUUGAAACCUGGACGUGCUGUGAUUCACUCUUUCCAUCAUCUUCUGGACCACAGUCAGCGAUCGUCACCAUGAUGUGUGAAGAAGAGACUGGAGCGGGAAUGUGCACCACCAGUACAUGUUAAUUUCUCUCCAUUAUGUUGUAAUUACAAAUAAAUGUGUCGUGUAAUUUAGAA